rnacentral:rRNA from 1 species
CGCCUGUUUAACAAAAACAUUUCUUUUAGGGUUUUUUAAAAGUACUUUAUGCCCUAUGGUUUUUCUAAAUGGCUGAGGUAUUUUGACUGUGCAAAGGUAGCAUAAUAAUUAGUUUUUUAAUUGAAGGCUGGGGAUGAAUGGAAAACUGAGAUACAUAUUUUAUUUAAUUUAAGGUUAAAAUUUAAAUUUUAAGUAAAAUCUUAGUUGAAUUCUUGGGACGAUAAGACCCUAUAGAACUUUACUUAAUGAUUUUUAGUAAUCUUUUAGCUAUAAUAUUUUACUAUUCAAAAAAUUGUUUUGCUGGGGUGGUGAAUAAAUUUAAACUUUAUUAAUAAAAAUCAUUAUUAAUGUUUAUAGUGAUCUGUCAUUAAGAAUAAAGAAUAAGUUACCUUAGGGAUAACAGCGUAAUUACAAUGGAGAGUUCAUAUUUAUAUUGAUUUUUGCGACCUCGAUGUUGAAUUAAGGUAAAUUUUAAGAAGCAGUAUUCUUAGUUUUAAGUCUGUUCGCUUUUAAACCCUUACUUGAUCUGAGUUCAGACCGG